AGUGAACGCUGGCGGUAGGCCUAACACAUGCAAGUCGAACGGCAGCACAGUAAGAGCUUGCUCUUACGGGUGGCGAGUGGCGGACGGGUGAGGAAUACAUCGGAAUCUACUUUUUCGUGGGGGAUAACGUAGGGAAACUUACGCUAAUACCGCAUACGACCUACGGGUGAAAGCAGGGGAUUUUCGGACCUUGCGCGAUUGAAUGAGCCGAUGUCGGAUUAGCUAGUUGGCGGGGUAAAGGCCCACCAAGGCGACGAUCCGUAGCUGGUCUGAGAGGAUGAUCAGCCACACUGGAACUGAGACACGGUCCAGACUCCUACGGGAGGCAGCAGUGGGGAAUAUUGGACAAUGGGCGCAAGCCUGAUCCAGCCAUACCGCGUGGGUGAAGAAGGCCUUCGGGUUGUAAAGCCCUUUUGUUGGGAAAGAAAAGCAGCAGGUUAAUACCCCGCUGUUCUGACGGUACCCAAAGAAUAAGCACCGGCUAACUUCGU
rnacentral:rRNA from 1 species